CCUACAAUACAAUGUAGUGUUAAUGCUUCGAAUCCCAUUAGAACUCCGUAGUUAAGCACACUCAGGCUAGAGUAGUACUAGGAUGGGCGACCACCCGGGAAGUCCUACUAUUUUACAUGC
rfam:Picea glauca, whole genome shotgun sequence.